UUGAACGCGAAGGACCUUACCUGGGUUUGACAUACACCGGAAAGCUGCAGAGAUGUAGCCCCCGCAAGGUCGGUGUACAGGUGGUGCAUGGCUGUCGUCAGCUCGUGUCGUGAGAUGUUGGGUUAAGUCCCGCAACGAGCGCAACCCUCGUCCUAUGUUGCCAGCACGUCAUGGUGGGGACUCAUAGGAGACUGCCGGGGUCAACUCGGAGGAAGGUGGGGAUGACGUCAAGUCAUCAUGCCCCUUAAGUCCAGGGCUUCACGCAUGGUACAAUGGCCGGUACAAAGGGGUGGGAUACCGCAAGGUGGAGCGAAUCCCAAAAAGCCGGUUUCAGUUCGGAUUGGGGUCUGCAACUUGACCCCAUGAAGUCGGAGUCGGUAGUAAUCGCAGAUCAGCAACGCUGCGGUGAAUACGUUCCCGGGUCUUGUACACACCCAAAA
rnacentral:rRNA from 1 species